UGAUGUCGCUGUUGCCAAGCACCCUUCCUCCUUGCUCUGUAGUGUGUAGAGGACACUGGUUUUCUAGUGACCUACUAGUGUUCCUUUCCUAGGCAAGAGGCACAUUAUGCAGAGGCAGAUGGAUUCAGGACAGAGGAGCUGUGUCCUUGAAACAUGUUCUGAUUGGCACUGACCACAGGUGAGGUAGCCGGGCCUUCUGUGAACACACCAGAGACAAGGAUACACUUGCUAGGUUGGAGUGGGGAGCCCCUGCCCUCCAGCAGUCAGAGACACUCUAGGAUGCCUGGAUUUCAAGCCAGGAAUGUGAACACAGUUAUUUGUGCUGACUGUGAAGCAGAAAAGGAAUUUGGAGGAAAGAAGUGGAGGCAGCACCAACCCAAUACAAAAUCAUUCUCAGUCAUCUGAGUUUGAUGAGCACCUGAACCACGCCUGAGCUUAGGCUCCCCCAGGCUUCUGAAGCAUCACUGCAGUACAGAACUUUCAAGGGCUUGAGGCACUUCUGGACAACAGGGCAGGCCACCAUCGCUGUACUGCAAACCAAGACUGCCCGUUCUGUGAAAGUCAUCUAAACACAUUCUUACCACGCGACCUGGAAAUUCCACUCUGCCUCCGAGAGACAGAAACUGAAUCCACACAGCAGGAUCAUUCACAGCAACCUGGAGCCAGAAAAUACCUCGGUGUCCUUUGCAGAGGGACCGAGGAUCAAAGUGUGGUGCAUCCACACCUGGAACCUCACAGCCAGGACAAGGGAUGGACUUUGACACACAGCAGUCCCCAGGGAUCUCACAGACUCCAUACUAAGGGGAAGAGGCCCAGGAGGGGAGAAUAUGCAUGGCAGGGGGUCAGGCUGAUUUUAGGUGACAAUGACACCUGCUUUUUGGUGAUGAUGAUGGCUGGAGGAAAUGGAAAGUCCCAUACCCUGCCAGGGCGUGACUCACAUGUAAACACUGGGCAGCCAAGAUUCAGAUGUCUCAAUCUGUGCAGAUUUUGCCUAAAUAACUGAAAGGUUAAGUCCUUUGGGAAUUGUGAGAAGAUGGAAUUGCAAAGAAGAAGGCGGGAUGCUGGCUUCGGUGUGGCUGAACCCAUGGAGGAACUUACCACACUGCCCUGCUGACUUUGCAUAUUGUCCAAAGUAUUUCAUCAUAAAAGUUUUAAUAAACGCAACAGUCCUCCCUUAUCUGUAGCUUCAGUUAGAGUCAACCAAUGUCUGAAAAUGUUAAGUGGAAAAAUCCCACAAAUAAUUUGUAACUUUUCAGCUGUGUCAUGUUGAGCCACAUGAAGAAAUCUUGUGCAGUCAUAUUUCAUUCUGCCUAGAACAUAAUCACCCUUUUGUCUAGUGCAGCCCUAAUGUAUGCCUAAUCUACUUGUUAGUCACUUGAUAGUAUCUCAGUUAUCAGAUUCGCUGCUGCGAUGUCAUAGUGCUUCUAUUCAUGUAACUCUUAUUUUACUUUAAAUAACCCCAAGUGUAAGAGUAGUGAGGGGCCGGUGCCGCGGCUCAAUAGGCUAAUCCUCCGCCUUGCGGUGCUGGAACACUGGGUUCUAGUCCUGGUCGGGGCGCCGGAUUCUGUCCUGGUUGCGCCUCUUCCAGGCUAGCUCUCUGCUGUGGCCAGGGAGUGCAGUGGAGGAUGGCCCAAGUCCUUGGGCCCUGCACCCCGUGGGAGACCAGGAGAAGUACUUGGCUCCUGCCAUCGGAUCAGCGCGGUGCACCAGCCACAGUGCGCCGGCCACGGCAGCCAUUGGAGGGUGAACCAACGGCAAAGGAAGACCUUUCUCUCUGUCUCUCUCACUGUCCACUCUGCCUGUCCAGAUCGUUAUGGUACUUCCUCAAGUGAGAAGAUAAAAGAGCUAGCGCUGUGGCACAGUAGGUUAAUCCUCCACCUGUGGUGCCGGCAUUUCAUCUGGCUGCUGGUUCUAGUCUUGGCUGCUCCACUUCGGAUCCAGCUCUCUGUAUGGCCUGGGAAAGCAGUGGAAGAUGACCCACGACCCACAUGCUUGGGCCCCUGUGGGAAACCCGAAACAAGCUCCUGGCUCCUGCCCAGCUCUGGCCGCAAUGGCCAUUUGGGGAGUGAACCAGUGGAUGGAUGGCCUUUCUCUCUGUCUUUCCCUCUCACUGUCUGUAACUCUACCUGUCAAAAAAGUAAAUAAAAUCUUUUUAAAAAAUGUUCUUGACUCAAGGGAAGAAAAUAUGUGCCGAGGCUGCCAAGACCAAUGGUGAUAAUGAAUCUUUUCUCUGGAAUCUUUUCUCUGUGGAAAGCUAAAGUAGCAAAAAGAAAUUCAUGCUAGUUUUGCUAUGCCAGUUACAUACUGCAGAAGUAAUUACAGCCACACACACAGGGCUGUUUUCUGUAUACAGUUUCAGGUAUUUCCUCAAAGUUUUGCAGUAUAUACUCUGAGGAUAUGGGCACCGCUGCUUUAAGAAUGUUUUGGAGUUCUUGUACACUGUUGGUAGGAUUAUAAAAUGAUGUAUUUGUUGGGAAAAGCAGUUUAUCAGUUCUUCAAAAAAUUCAAAGUAGAUCUUCUGGAAACUUCCAAAAAGGCCAAAUAGAGGUGUUUAGCAUUUGCCUCAUCCUCUACAAGGAAAGAACCAAAACAAAGAAACUGCUGCAUCUUUGGGAUUUGGCAUUUGGUGCAGUGGGUUCAAGUCCCAGCUCUGCUCCUUAUUCUGGCUUUCUGCUAAUGCACACCAUGAGAAAGAGCAGGUGAUGGUUUAAGUACUUAGGUCCCUGUCACCCAUGUGGGAGACCUGGAUUGAGUCUAGGCUUCUGGCUUCUGGUUGGCCCAGCUCUAGGUGUUUCAGGCAUUUGUGGAAUGAAAAAGUGGACAGUAGAACUCCUCUAUUUCUCAAAUAAAAAAUGAAAAUAACUUCAUCUUCAUAUGAAUGCCUGAUGACAAGCACUGGGGCUCAAUCAUGAAUAAUGGAAACUUUUAGGGGCACAUAGACCUGGAAUGGCAUCAUGGGGAGAGACACAAAGCCAACCAGCAACUGAGACCCCAGAGCAGUCGCCAUGGAGAAUCCCCUUUCCCCUGAAUGAGAGAGCCUCAGUAGAUCCCAUCUGCAUGAUUACCUUACCAGACAAUGCUGGAUGCAGGAGGCAUCUACAGGCUCCACAGACCAAGAGCUUAGUAAGGAGAGCUCAUGGCUGAUAAUUUUGAUUCAGAGAAGGAACUCACCGUAUAUCUCCCAUAACCUGCAGAGCACAGGCGAAAGAAUCUGGAGAAAGGAGUCAUUUUGACUCUACACUGCCCUAGAAGACAGAGGUCCCCAUCUAUCCCCAUAACUAGGGCUCUAUAGACAUUUCACAAUACAUAAGACUGCAGACUUGUGCAUCUAAGUAGAGUUAGUAUACCAGUAAGCCUUGCACCCAAAUGCAUGCAGUGCACUGUACCACAGAGGACAGGAAGUGAAAAGCAGCAGAGGGAUUGGGACCCCACGACCCUAGAGUUAGGAGCACUUUACCCUCAGAUAUGGGCCCAUCCUUCAACUCCCUCUCCUCCUCUGACACCAAGGGCAUUUGUCACUGCCACUGUGAAUCACACAGUGCAGUAGAUGUGAUGCAGCUCCACCUACUCACUGCUGCUUUGAACUGUGCAUGCUCUCAGGACUGUGAAUAUGCCUGGCCUGCUUCUGGGGCUUUGGGUUCUCACAAAGUCAGCAGCCAAGGGGCUGUGUGCCCUACCUAUUCUGGCAUCAGAAUGGAUGCACGGCUUUGGAACCUGGCCAAGACAGUUAUCAGGGGUCUGCAUGCUCUCCUCAUCUCAGUACAAAACCAUGCCUUGUGGCUUCAGGCCCUCACCACCCAUAUGGGCUGCUACACUACUGAUCCAGUUCUCUGCUAUGGCUUGGGAAAGCAGUAGAAGAUGGCCCAAGUCCUUGGGCCCCUAAACCCAUGUGGGAGACCAAGGGGGAGCUCCUGGCUCCUGGCUUCGGAUCAUUGCAGCUCCGCUGUUGCGGCCAUCUGGGGCGUAAACCAUCGGGUGGAAGACCUCUCCCUCUGUCUCGGCCUCUCUUCUCUCUGUGUAACUCUGACUUUCAAAUAAAUAAAUAAAUCUUAAAAAAAAAACUAUAUACUUAAAACAAAUGGACCUAACACAUUUACAGAACAUUUUAUCCAACAGCUGAAGAGUACAGAUUAUUGUUAUAAUCACAUUGAAUAUUCUCAAGGAUAGAUCAUAUACUAGACCACAAAACAAGUCUAAGCAGAUUAAAAAAAUGAAAUCAUUUUAUGUAUCUUUUCUGAUCACAUUGGAAUAGAAAUCAACAACAAAAGGGACUUUAGCAAUUAUACAAAUACAGACUGAAGAACUGAAGAGCAUGCUCCUGAAUGAGACUGGGUUAUUGAAGAAAUCAAAAUCAAACUAGUGAAAAUAGAAACAUAACAUCCCUAAACUUACAGGAUGCAGAAAAGGCAGUACUAAGAAGGAAGUGUAUAGCAAUAAGUACAGACAUCAAUAAAAGAAAGAAAUUAUGUAAACAAGAUAAUGAUGCACUUCAAGGACCUAAAACAAUUGGAAGAAACCAAAUUCAAAUUCUAUGGAAAGAAAGAAAUAAUAAAAAUUAGUGCAAAGGGCAGCAUUGUUGUGCAGUGAGGUUUAAACCACUGUUGGAGAUGCUGGCAUCUGAUAUAAGAGUGCCUGUUCAAGUCCCAGCUGCUCUGCUUCUGAUCCAGCUUCCUGCUAAUGUGCAUAUGGAGGCUGUUCAUUAUGGUCCAAGUGCUUGGGUUUUUCCACCCAUGUGGGAGACAUGGAGUUCUUGGCUCCUGGCUUUGGCCUGGCCCAGACCUGGCUGUUGUGGUCAUUUGGGGAAUUAACCAGUGUAGGGAAGAGUCUCUCUAUCUUCCCCCAACUCUGUCUUUGAGAAAAAUAAAUAAUCUUUAAAAUUUUAGUGUGGAAUCAAAUUAAGUCAAAACUAAGAAAACAACAGAAAGCAUUAAUGAUAUCAAGAGUUGGAUUAUUGAAAAUAGAAAAUUGAUAAUACUUUGACUAGGCAGCUAAGAAAAGAGAAAAAAUCAAAUUAAUAAAAAUCAGAGAUGAAAAAGAAAAUAUGGUAACUGCUGUUAUACAAAUACAAAGGAUCAUCAGGGACUAUUAUGAGCAACUGAGUGUGGGACAUUGAAAAACUUGUGUGAAAUGGAUAAAUUUCUAGAUACAUAUAACUUUCCCAGAUUGAACCAUGAAGACAUAGAAAGUCUGAAAACUUCAAGAACUAACACUAAUUCUUUUCACACUAUUUCAAAAUUUAAAAUUAGGAAACUCUUCUAUAUGGCUAGCACUAUCUUGAUUCACACACACACAAAAAAAAUUACUGACCAGUAUCCCUGAUGAAUAAAGAUGCAAAAAAGCUCACUAGGCUAAUCCUCCACCUGCGGCACCAGCACCCCGAGUUCUAGUCCCGGUUGGGGCGCCAGAUUCUGUCCCGGUUGAUCCUCUUCCAGUCCAGCUCUCUGCUGUGGCCUGGGAAGGCAGUGGAGGAUGGCCCAAAUACUUGGGCCCUGUACCCACAUGGGAGACCAGGGGGAAGAAACUGGCUCCUGGCUUCAGAUCGGCGCAGCGCGCCGGCCACAGCACAGUGGCCAUAGCUGCCAUUUGGGGGGUGAACCAAUGGAAAAGGAAGACCUUUCUCUCUGUCUCUCUCUCUCUCUCAAUGUCUAACUCUGCCUGUCCAAAAAAAAAAAAAUUCUCAACAAAAUACUAGCAAAUAAAAUCCAACAGCAAAUCAGCAAAUUAAAAGAGCAUUCACCCUGACCAUGGGGACUUAUCUCAGGUGUAGAAUGAUAGUCAAACAUGUGUAAAUCAAUAAAUGUAAUAUAUCACAUCAACAGAAUGACAGACAAAAAAUCAUAUGAUCAUCUUGAUAGAUGCAGAAAAUACAUUUAAUAAAAUUCAACAUUCAUUCAUUAAAAACGUUGAACAAAUUAUGUAUAUAAAGAAUAUAUUGGGGCCAGUGCUGUGGCGCAGUAGAUUAAUCCUCUGCCUGUGGUGCCAGUAUGCCAUAUGUGCGCUGGUUCUAGUCCCGACUGCUCCUCUUUCGAUCCAGCUUUCUUAUAUGGCCUGGGAAAACAGUAGAUAAUGGCACAAGUCCUUGGGCCCCUGCACCCUUAUGGGAGUCCUGAAAGAAGUUCCUGGCUACUGGCUUCGGAUUGGUGCAGCUCCAGCCAUUGUGGCCAUUUGGGGAGUAAACCAGUGGAUGAAAGACCUUUCUCUCUGUCUCUCCCUCUCACUAUCUGUAACUAUACCUCUCAAAUAAAUAAAUAAAGUAAAAAAAAUACCUCCACAUAAUAAAAGCUAUUUAUAUAUGACAAACCUACAAUCAAAAUCAUAUUGAACAGUAAAAAAUGAAAGCCCUUCCUUUAAGAUCUGGAACCAAAGAUGUGAACUUUCACUACUUUUAUUAAAUUUAGUUUUAACCAGAAAAACUAGGUACUAGAAAUAAAUUAAAAGGCAUGUAAAUAGGACAGAAAAAAAUCCCACUAUCUCUCUGUAGCUGAUAUGAAUCCUUAAAUUUUUUUUAUUUAAAAAUUUGACAGACAUAAAAAUUACAUAUUUUUGUAUGUGAUGUUUUGCUACAUGUAUCCAUUGUGUUAUGUCCAAAGUACUUAUAUUUCUCUUUUCAAGAAUUUAAUGUUUCUUUAUAGUGAAAGCAUCUGAAAAAUCUUCACCGAGAAACUAUUAGAAUUGAUAAAGUAAAGUUGUAGGAUACAAAAUCAAUACACAAAAGUCAGUAGCAUUUUUGUAAACCAGUAAUAUUUUUUUUAAAAAAUGUUUACUUAUUUGAAAAGCAAAGAGAAAGAGAGAGAAAUAUCUUCCAUCCACUGGUUCAUUCCCCAAAUGACCACUAUGACUGAGGCUGGGACAGGCCAAAGCCAGGAGCCAGGAGCUUCAUCUGGGUCUCCCAUGUGGGUGCAGUGGCUCAAGGAUUUGGACCAUUUUCUACUGCCUUCCCAGGUGCAUUAGCAGGAAGCAGCUAGGACUUGGACUGACACCUAUAUGAGAUGCCAGCAUCACACGCAGUGGCUUAACCCACUAUGUCACAAUGCUGGUCCCUUAAACUUGUUGAGAAAUAAGUUAUAAGGACAAUCUUCAUCACAAUAGCUACAACCUAUAUAUAAUGCCCUGAAAUCCAUUUAACCAAGAAAGUAAAAAAUGUUUACCAUGAAAAUUUUAGAAAAACUUAUGAAAAAAAUUGAACAAGACACACAAAAAAAUGGAAAGGCCUCCUUGUUCAUGGAUUGGAAAAAAGUAAUAUCAUUAAAAAUUAACAGAUUCUAUACAAUACCCAUCAAAAUACAAUUGAAUCCCCCAAAUUAUAAAAUGAAUUUUUGCCAGCGCCGCAGCUCAAUAGGCUAAUCCUCCGCCUUGCGGCAUCGGCACACCAGGUUCUAGUCCCGGUUGGGGCGCCGGAUUCUGUCCCGGUUGCCCCUCUUCCAGGCCAGCUCUCUGCUGUGGCCAGGGAGUGCAGUGGAGGAUGGCCCAAGUGCUUGGGCCCUGCACCCCAUGGGAGACCAGGAGAAGCACUUGGCUCCUGGCUCCUGGCUCCUGCCUUCAGAUAGGCGCGGUGCGCCGGCGGCAGUGCGCCGGCCGUGGUGGCCAUUGGAGGGUGAACCAACGGCAAAAGGAAGACCUUUGUCUCUGUUUCUCUCUCUCACUGUCCACUCUGCCUGUCAAAAAAAUAAAAAAAAAAAAAGAAAAUGAAUUUCUAAAAUGUUUUUGGAAACAUCAGUAUAAGCAAAUAUCCAAAGCAAUCUUGAAUAAAAUAACAGAUGGACGCAUAACAACGUUAAAUUUAAAGACACAUUAAGGAACUACUGUAACUACAAUAAUACAGUGCUAGUAUAAAAACAGGCACAUAAACUAAUGGAACAGAAGAAAAACCUCAGAAAUGAAUCCACAUGUACACAGCCAACUGAUUUUUUUUUCUUACAAAGGAAUCAAAACCAUACCUUGAGGAAAAGUCUCUUCAAUAAAUAAUGUUGGAAGAAUUGGAUUACACAUAUACAUAGUAAUGAAUAUGACCUCUACCACUCAUUCAAUACAAGUUCAAUUCAAAAUGGAUCAAAGAUCUAAAUGUAAAACCUGAAACUAUGAAACUGUAUUAAUAAAACAUAGGGAAACACUUGAAGACAUUGCAAUAAGCAGUAACUUUUUGGGUAAGAUCCCCAAAACACAGGUAACAGUAGCAAAAAAUAGACAAAUUGGAUUUUACCAAACCAACAUGCUUCUGCAAAGUAAAGGAAACAGUCAACAGAGUGAAGAGACAACCAACAGGAUGACAGAAAAUAUUUUCAAACUAUUCGUUUGACAAAGGAUUAAUAUUCAGAAUAUGUAAGGAACUUGAAAAUCUCCACAAAAAUAUCAACCAAUCCAGUUACGAAAUGGGCGAAGGAUCUGAAUAUACAGUAUAUAUUGAAUAUACAGAAGAAAAAAAAUGUCAACAAAUAUGGGAAACAAUGCUCACUAGCCAUCAUGGAAAUUCAAAUCAAAAUCAUAAUAAGGUAUCAUCUCAAUUCAGUUAAAAUGGCUAUUAUAUAAAAGAAAAGGGGGGAAGGCAGCAGCACUGUGGUGUAUAAGCUAAGCCUGUGCCUUGGUACUGGCAUCCCAUUUGGGUACUGGUUAUGUCCCAGGUGCUCCUCUUCUGAUCCAGCUCCUUGGUCAUGGCCUGGGAAAGCAGUGGAAGGUGGCCUGAGUUCUUGGGCCCUUGCACCCAUGUGGGAGACCUAGAAGAGGCUCCUGGCUUCAGAUAAGCUUAGAGGAUAGAAAACCUUUCUCUUUGUCUCUCCCUCUCUCUGCGUGUAACUCUCUCAAAUAAAUAAAUAAAUAAAUAAAUAAAUCUUAAAAAAAAGGCAAGGGGGAUAAAAUGACAGUGACCACCUUCCCAGAGAGGUACAAAUUUGAAUGGCUGUUCACUCACAAAUUCACCUUCACAAGAGUUACAGAAGCCAGGUAAGAGAAUACAGUGCCUGGUUUUUGUAAAAUGAUAAGAAAAAUCACAUUGAAGAAAGCAGGAGGAAAGAGUUACCCACAUCACUAGUUCCCCAACUCCAAGUAGUGCAGCAUGGAGAGAUAUGCCUUCUUACUGGGGGAGGGAAAGAGGGUUGAAUUAGUAAGAUUUGAAUUCUGGUGUCAGGUCCACUGCAAUAAAACCCAAUCAUAUAGGACCCCACAGUACCUAUACUUGCAAGACCUAUUCUUGUAAAUAGAGUAUAUGGACUGCUCCAUAGCUACCUGGCCAGGAGACCUCUCCACCCCAUCCCAGCCUUUGGUAAAAAGCAGAGGAAGAUUCUAGCCACCAAGGUGUAAGGCAGGAAAGGGAGCUUAGAACAUUGCCUUGGAGCUCAGAAUGAGGACCACCAUCAUGAGACCUAGCAUGUGAUAAAUCCCAAAAUCUUUUCUCUUAGACCAUUGCACAUAGAACUUUUAGACUUGCCCCAUCAUCAGGUAAGGAAUUCUACUCUGUUGGAAUAGAUUCAUUUUGGCAAGUUUCAUCACUAGCCUCAAGUUAACUGGCAUGUACCCUCAAGCCUAUGUAAGGCUCAGUGACUGUUGAACUCUGGUGUAACCCUGCCUAGCAUUCUGGAUGGUCAAAGAGUUGUCUUUAUUGCCAUCCUUCAACCUUGGGCAGACAGCAAGGAACCACAGGACUGUAUCUUGAGACCUAAUGCUGGGCUGAUAAAAUCCAAUGCUGGGUGGAUUCUAAUAGUCCCUAUUCCCAGGUCAGUGCCUACGUCUGGAGUCUUUUGACUUGCCCCAGUGUCAUGCAGAGACAUGAGCUCAGGUAGGAUGCAUGGGCUUGUUUGGGCAAGUAUCACCAGCAACCUCUUGGGCCUGGUGUGCACCUCUAAGAUUGCACAUAGCCCAAUGACUGUGACACCCAGGUGUAACCCACUUAGUGCUUGACUGGGCCGCUGAGGAGAUGUCUCUACAACUUUGUACAGAGAGCAAUGGUCCACAGGACUCUUUUAGGACUCAAUUCCAGGCUGAUAAAAUGCAACAGUGAGCAGAACCUAACUUCCUGUUCCCACAUCAGUGCUUGUAGAUGGAGUCUCUGGACCUGAUUUGCUGAAAAGUGAAAUUAAGUGGAGUUCCUUGGCCCCAGUUGAUCAGCCUUAUACUCCACUCAGCAUGACUGAUGGCUGGCAGGAGUGGCACUGAGGCUUUAUCAGAAGCAGACAUAUCAUAGCAAAGUAGGAUUUUGUCCUUUCCCAAGCUGUGCUGGUUUCAAUAGGCUGUGGAUUCUGGGUGUGAUCUAGUAUCAUGGCAGUGGUGACAAGGGAGUUAAGUAUCAGUGCAUAACACACCCCCAGGAAAAGCUUAUAAGGAUAGUUUACUUUUUAGGCAUUUUCCCACAAUAUUUUUCCUUUUGUUAAAAAAGAUUUAUUUAUUUAUUUAUUGAAAGAGUUACCCACAGAGCAAACUGUUGAAAUCUUUACUUAAUGUAUGCUAAACUGAUCUUCUGUAUAUAAAGAGAAUCGAAAAUGAAUCUUGAUGUGAAUGGAAGGGGAGAGGGAGUGGGAAAGGGGAGGGUUGCGGGUGGGAGGGACAUUAUGGGGGGGAAGCCAUUGUAAUCCAUAAGCUGUACUUUGGAAAUUUAUAUUCAUUAAAUAAAAGUUAAAAAAAAAGAGUUACCCACAGAGAAGGAGGGAGGGAAAAGGAGGGAGGGGGAGAGAGAGAGAAAGUGUUUCUUCUGUUUGUUCACUCUCCAGAUAGCCACAUGGUCAUGGUUGGGCCAGGCUGAAGCCAUGAGAGUUAGGAGCCUCUUCCUGGUUUCAUACGUGGGUUGUGCUAUCUUCUGUUGCUUUUUCUAGGCCACUAACAGGGAGCUGGAUUGGUAGUGCAGUGGCUGGGACAUGAACCAGCACCCAUGUGGGAUGCUGGCACUGCAGGCAGCAACUUUACCUACUAUGCCACAAUGCCUGCCUCUCCCACCAUUCUUUCCAAAUAGCAUAUCAACUAUGCAAUUGGCACAAAUAUGAGCUUGGAGAGUAUUGUAAGAAUGGGACAGAAAAAUACCCUAACAGUAGCAAACCUUCACUUUAAGCACUAUUUAGGGCUAGAAUAGAAAUGUCUAUAGGCUCAGAGAAAAUAAACAGACUAAGAAUUUCUGAAAGAACAGCAACAAAACUAAUUCUUCAAUGUACAGACAUCAUCAAACAUCCAAUAUCAACAACUUCCAGAGACCCAUGACCUCACAUAAUUAACAAAGUAAGGUGUAAGAAACCAAUCAUGUACAAUGGAGUUGAAAUUUUAAGUCUGAGUGGAAGACAUCAAAAUAUUUAUUUUAAUGAAAUACAACACAUUUCAAGAGUAAAUGAAUGAUUCAGUACUCUCACAGAUGACAGAAAUGUAGAAGUAAUUAAAAUAAAUAAAAUAAAUACUUCAACUGAAAAGUCCAUUUAGCAAAAGCAAUGCUAUAGAAAUCAUCAGUAGUAGAAUAGAUCACACAAAAGAAGAACCAGUGAGCUCAAAGCCGUCUUAUUUGAAAACACACAGUUGGAGCCUCUCCUUUCUAUUUUCUCUGUUUUUUUUUUUUUAAUAUUUUUAAAUAAACUGGAAAAUCUUAACAUCAUGAAAUCUGACUAAAGGUAGCGCUUUUGUAGUUGUUAACCAUUUAGGCAAAAUUUUCUAGUAUCUGAAAAUUGUCAAAGACAGGUGUCUAAAAGCUACUGUUGGCCCAAAGGAACAUUUUGGUGCCCUCCCUCCAUUUUUUAAAGAUAAGGGAAAAUAUAUAUAUAUAUGUGUGUGUGUGUGUGUGUGUGUGUGUGUAUGUAGGGAGAAAUAUACCCCUGUUGACCAUUUUUAAAAGGCUCCUAAUUGGGAAUGGUGAUUUAACCAAUUUUAAAGAUUAAUGGAGAAAUUGUGGGAGGGAAGGACAAUAUAGCUAUGAAGAUUAUAUAAGUGUGCAAUGAACAUAUUUGCUUAAAACAGAAUCGAGAGGAUUAAAGAAAGAUUUUGGAAAUUAUGGGGCAGUGCGAAAAGAGCAAGUGUCCAAAUUGUGAUUCAAGAGGGACUUGAGAAUGUCAAGAGGGCUUUACAUAUUCAAAGAGAUAAUGAAAGAAAACUUCCCACAUCCAGAGAAAGUUCAAUUAAACAGGAAUAUCAAAGAUCAUCAGUCAUAUUUAAGGAAACCAAUUCUACUUCAAAUUGUAAUAAAUCUCUUCAAGUUUAAAGAUUAAGUGAGAAAAGAAAAGAAAGAAUACAAAAAGGGAUCCUGAUUCAUCUGACUGCAGAGUUUUCAUCAGAAACCUUACAGGUCAGGAGAGAGUGGGAAGAAACAUUCACAACACUGAAGAAAAAAUUUUCCAUUCAAGAAUAUUGUUGGGGGGGGGUGCUGGCGCUGUGGCAUAGAGAGUAAAGCUGCUGCUUGCAGUACUGACAUCCCAUAUGGAUGCCAGUUGGAAUUCCAGCUGCUCCACUUCUGAGCCAGCUCUCUGCAAUGGCCUGGGGAAGCAGUAGAAGAUGGCCCAAGUCCUUGGGCCCCUGCACCUGUGUGGAAGACCUGGAAGAAGCUCCUGGUUCCUGGCUUCAGAUCUGCACAACUCUGGGCACUGAGUCCAUCUAGGGAGUGAACCAGUGGAUGGAAGACUCUCUCUCUCUCUCUCUCUCUCUCUCUCUCUGGAUCUGCCUCUCUGUAACUCUGCCUUUCAAAUAAUUAAAUAAAUUUUAAAGAAAGGAAUAUUAUACACAGAAAAACUACUCUUCAUAUAUAAGUAAGAACUUCCAAGACAAACCAAAGCUGAGAGAAUUUAUUCUCAACAGUCCUGUCUUGCACUAAAUGCUAAAGGGAGUUCUUCAAACAGAAAAGAAACACUAAUGCAUAAGAAGAAAACAUCAGAAGGUAUACACCUUGCCAGUAAGAGUAACUAUAUAUAGAUACAGAAUGCUCUAAUAUUGUAAACAUGGGGCAUAAUCCAUUCAUAACUUUAGUGUGAAGACUUAAAGUAAGAACUACAUCAAAUGCUAAGAUACAAGCAGUAUGGAAAAAAGUAAAAUCAGACACAAAAAUUCAAAAUGUGGGGA